rnacentral:rRNA from 1 species
UACACGCUGUGACUAGCAUAUCAAUAAGCGGAGGAAAAGAAACUAACAAGGAUUCCCCUAGUAACGGCGAGUGAAGCGGGAAGAGCUCAAAUUUGAAAUCUUAAAGGGUUUCCCUUUACGAAUUGUAGUUUAAAGAAGUGUUUUCUGUUGAGGUUUUGGUAAAAGUUCUUUGGAAUAGGACAUCAUAGAGGGUGAGAAUCCCGUAUUUGACCUUUACUUUCAACUUUGUGAUACACUUUCAAAGAGUCGGAUUGUUUGGGAAUGCAGUCCAAAAUGGGUGGUAAAUUUCAUCUAAAGCUAAAUAUUGGCGAGAGACCGAUAGCGAACAAGUACCGUGAGGGAAAGAUGAAAAGAACUUUGAAAAGGAGAGUUAAACAGUACGUGAAAUUGUCAAAAGGGAAGCGUUUGACACCAGUGUUGUUUUUCUGAAAAUCAAUUAAAGAACUGUUUAUGCUAAGCUGUUUAGACUUUAUCAGCUAUCUGUUUAGUUUUGAGCUUUUCUUUAAUGCACUUUUCAGUUAACAAGUCAACAUCAAUUUCUUUUGCUGUAAAAAAGCUUGAGGAAGGUGGCUUGAGAUUCGUCUUAAGUGUUUAUAGCCUCUUGCCUAUGCAGUCGGAGAGAUUGAGGUCUGCAGCGUAGAUCCUUCGGGGCUAAAUGCAUUUGUGCUAAGUUAUAGCAUUUUAUAGACAACUUGUUGACUAUGAUUUGUCUUGUAGCUUACUCGCUUAUGUUAUUUUACCUACGCUUAGGAUGUUGAUAUGCAUGACUGAUAU